CCUACGGGUGGCAGCAGUGGGGAAUCUUGCGCAAUGGGCGAAAGCCUGACGCAGCAACGCCGCGUGCGGGAUGAAGGCCUUCGGGUUGUAAACCGCUUUCAGCAGGGACGAAGAUGACGGUACCUGCAGAAGAAGCCCCGGCCAACUACGUGCCAGCAGCCGCGGUAACACGUAGGGGGCGAGCGUUGUCCGGAUUUAUUGGGCGUAAAGAGCUCGUAGGCGGUUCCGUCAGUCGGGUGUGAAAACUCUGGGCUCAACCCAGAGACGCCACCCGAUACUGCGGUGACUAGAGUCCGGUAGGGGAGUGCGGAAUUCCUGGUGUAGCGGUGAAAUGCGCAGAUAUCAGGAGGAACACCAACGGCGAAGGCAGCACUCUGGGCCGGUACUGACGCUGAGGAGCGAAAGCGUGGGGAGCGAACAGGAUUAGAUACCCUAGUAGUC
rnacentral:rRNA from 1 species